rnacentral:rRNA from 1 species
AUUGAACGCUGGCGGCAGGCUUAACACAUGCAAGUCGAGCGGGGUGAUGGUGCUUGCACUAUCACUUAGCGGCGGACGGGUGAGUAAUGCUUAGGAAUCUGCCUAUUAGUGGGGGACAACAUCUCGAAAGGGAUGCUAAUACCGCAUACGUCCUACGGGAGAAAGCAGGGGAUCACUUGUGACCUUGCGCUAAUAGAUGAGCAUAAGUCGGAUUAGCUAGUUGGUGGGGGAAAGGCCUACCAAGGCGACGAUCUGUAGCGGGUCUGAGAGGAUGAUCCGCCACACUGGGACUGAGAAACGGCCCAGACUCCUACGGGAGGCAGCAGUGGGGAAUAUUGGACAAUGGGGGGAACCCUGAUCCAGCCAUGCCGCGUGUGUGAAGAAGGCCUUAUGGUUGUAAAGCACUUUAAGCGAGGAGGAGGCUCUUUUGGUUAAUACCCAAGAUGAGUGGACGUUACUCGCAGAAUAAGCACCGGCUAACUCUGUGCCAGCAGCCGCCGUAA